AGUCCCUGUGCAGAGCCCUGGAUGGAGAGCUGGACCUCAGUGAGACCAGGCUGGACCAGAAGGCCUGUGGAUCUCUGGCCCUGGUUCUGGAACACUCAGAGGGGCUGUCAGAACUGGACCUCAGCCACUGUCAACUCACAGACCACCACCUACAGGCCCUGAUCACACACCUGCACAAAGUACAAGUCCUGGACCUGAGUCACAAUGACAUCACUGAUGCUCUGACUGACAGAAUACUCCAACUGGUCUCCACCAACACUUCAAUACACACCGUACGACUCUUCAACAACAGAAUCCAGGACAGAAGACCCUUCCUGACAGACAAGAGGUUUGAGAUCUGGUGAAGAUAAUGUUGUAUAAUGACAGUAUAAUGUGGUCAAUGUAGAAGGCUGGUUUGAGAUCUGGUGAAGAUAAUGUUGUAUAAUGACAGUAUAAUGUGGUCAAUGUAUAUAGAAGGCUGGUUCAAAAUCACACUGAUUGAUCUGAGUCCAGAAAAAUAGUCUUAGGGACAGGAAUGUAUCAUCUGGUAGACAGACGUCU